CACUUGAGCAAUUUAUUUCGAAUCUUGACCGGAGAGUUGAGCGGAUAAGUCUUCGGACAGGUCAUUCAUGUGGUGGUCAUCGUGACCGAUUUAGGCUAUGUGAAGCAUUGAUCGGAUUUUAACAGGUAACAGACAGAUUGAUCGGAUUUUGGUCUUGGCUUCAAAUCGAACAGCAACCUUUCUCUGUUUAAGACUGCUCGUUUAUAUGUUUUUUUCCUAACUGUUUUGAUUAAAUUGAAGCUGACAAUUUGAUUGUCAAGUUUUUGAUUUGAACAGGUUAGUUUUGUGAGUGUAUAAACCAGGUGACAGGUUCUUAUUGCUGUUUUACAUAAGAAUUGUGUGUGUUGUCUGUUUUUAGAAGAUUGUCAGRUUUAAGUCUCUUGCAGUGUCAGGUUCAAGUAUCUUGCAGUGUGCGGUCUAAAAUACAUUCAUUGUCCAGUUUAGCUUUGUGCUGUGUCCAAUUUAGACUCAUAGUGUCCGGUUUAAGUUUCAUAUAGUGUCCGGUUUAGGAUUAAUGCUGUGACAGGUUUAGUAGACUGUUUAAAGUGUAGUUUUGAAGCUGUUGUGAUUUUGAGUUGCUGUUUUGAUUUUGAACUGUCUCCAAUUCUCAGUUCUAAGUACAGCAAGAGAGUGAUCAAAAGAGUGAAGUUUUCAACUUUUUGUGUAAAUCUUUAUCACUCACACCAAUAUUGUUGAUUUACUGUUUUGUAUUGAUUGUUGGUCACAACAAUUUGAAGAAACAGUUACUUGUUUUGAGUUUCAUCUUAGCAGCUGUCAGUGACAAAGGCUGUGAAUUCGGGAGCAAAGGAGAGGGCCAAUACUGGUGCAAGCUGUUUUUAAUCAUGCAGUGUGUGUUUUUCUGUUUGAGCAGCAGCAAGAUGGCAUGAAAGGAAGCAGAAGGAGGAUUUCGUUUCAAACAAAUGUUUGCUUUCUACUAGCUUGCAUGAUGAUGGAUGAUGCAUCUGUUUUUUCGAGGAUAUUGGAUGCUGAGGCUACAAAACUACUACUAAAGCUGUUAGGGCCUGGUAAUGAAGCUCCAGUGAGAGCAUAAACAGGAGCAGCUGCUUGUUGCUAGAACUAAAAGUUGUGAUUGAGAUACUGUUUCUUACACUCAGACAGAUUCUUUGCAAGAGUCUUUUGCUACUGAAUUUUUUUAAGAAACAACAUUGUGAUGCAAAUGGCAUAAAUGAGAAGAUCCAAGCAGCAAAAGAAGAUCUAUGUAAAAAGGUUGAACUGCAUAACAGUUAUAAGGGAUUUAUAAUUGUUUUUGAGUUUGUAUUAAGACUUGAUCAUUUGUUGUUGUGACAUUGCAUAUUUCUGAAUUUUGAUAGCAUAUUUGUAUU